rnacentral:misc_RNA from 1 species
AACUUUUUAAAACUAGAUUGU